rnacentral:hammerhead_ribozyme from 1 species
AUUUAGCUGACGAAUCCCAAAUAGGUCAAAACACGUGUUUUAAAU